rnacentral:tRNA from 1 species
GCAUCGGUGGUUCAGUGGUAGAAUUCUCGCCUGCUACGCGGGGCACCCGGGUUCAAUUCCCGGCCGAUGCA